AAAUUGAAGAGUUUGAUCAUGGCUCAGAUUGAACGCUGGCGGCAGGCCUAACACAUGCAAGUCGAACGGUAACAGGAAGCAGCUUGCUGCUUUGCUGACGAGUGGCGGACGGGUGAGUAAUGUCUGGGAAACUGCCUGAUGGAGGGGGAUAACUACUGGAAACGGUGGCUAAUACCGCAUAACGUCGCAAGACCAAAGAGGGGGACCUUCGGGCCUCUUGCCAUCAGAUGUGCCCAGAUGGGAUUAGCUUGUUGGUGAGGUAACGGCUCACCAAGGCGACGAUCCCUAGCUGGUCUGAGAGGAUGACCAGCCACACUGGAACUGAGACACGGUCCAGACUCCUACGGGAGGCAGCAGUGGGGAAUAUUGCACAAUGGGCGCAAGCCUGAUGCAGCCAUGCCGCGUGUAUGAAGAAGGCCUUCGGGUUGUAAAGUACUUUCAGCGGGGAGGAAGGUGUUGUGGUUAAUAACCGCAGCAAUUGACGUUACCCGCAGAAGAAGCACCGGCUAACUCCGUGCCAGCAGCCGCGGUAAUACGGAGGGUGCAAGCGUUAAUCGGAAUUACUGGGCGUAAAGCGCACGCAGGCGGUCUGUCAAGUCGGAUGUGAAAUCCCCGGGCUCAACCUGGGAACUGCAUUCGAAACUGGCAGGCUUGAGUCUUGUAGAGGGGGGUAGAAUUCCAGGUGUAGCGGUGAAAUGCGUAGAGAUCUGGAGGAAUACCGGUGGCGAAGGCGGCCCCCUGGACAAAGACUGACGCUCAGGUGCGAAAGCGUGGGGAGCAAACAGGAUUAGAUACCCUGGUAGUCCACGCCGUAAACGAUGUCUACUUGGAGGUUGUGCCCUUGAGGCGUGGCUUCCGGAGCUAACGCGUUAAGUAGACCGCCUGGGGAGUACGGCCGCAAGGUUAAAACUCAAAUGAAUUGACGGGGGCCCGCACAAGCGGUGGAGCAUGUGGUUUAAUUCGAUGCAACGCGAAGAACCUUACCUGGUCUUGACAUCCACGGAACUUUCCAGAGAUGGAUUGGUGCCUUCGGGAACCGUGAGACAGGUGCUGCAUGGCUGUCGUCAGCUCGUGUUGUGAAAUGUUGGGUUAAGUCCCGCAACGAGCGCAACCCUUAUCCUUUGUUGCCAGCGGUCCGGCCGGGAACUCAAAGGAGACUGCCAGUGAUAAACUGGAGGAAGGUGGGGAUGACGUCAAGUCAUCAUGGCCCUUACGACCAGGGCUACACACGUGCUACAAUGGCGCAUACAAAGAGAAGCGACCUCGCGAGAGCAAGCGGACCUCAUAAAGUGCGUCGUAGUCCGGAUUGGAGUCUGCAACUCGACUCCAUGAAGUCGGAAUCGCUAGUAAUCGUGGAUCAGAAUGCCACGGUGAAUACGUUCCCGGGCCUUGUACACACCGCCCGUCACACCAUGGGAGUGGGUUGCAAAAGAAGUAGGUAGCUUAACCUUCGGGAGGGCGCUUACCACUUUGUGAUUCAUGACUGGGGUGAAGUCGUAACAAGGUAACCGUAGGGGAACCUGCGGUUGGAUCACCUCCUUACCUGAAAGAAGC
rnacentral:rRNA from 2 species